AUCAUUAAAACAGUUCCUCGUCCCUAUGACUAAUACAUGAAUAAUAAUACAAUAUAUAAGUAUUACAAAAAAUAAACUUCAUUCAUGACUUUUCAAAUGAUACGAAAGCCAACCUUGAAUAUUAUUAGACAAGGACGUCAUCUAUACUCAUGUUAUAGUAAUAAAGAAACAAAGCUCUAUGCGUGUGAAUAGUGAUAGAAAUAAGUCGUCAUUGGAUCAUCCACCGACAGCUCAUCGGUCGCUCCGAGCCGGUCUGAUAUAAAUAGUCGUCUAAAAAUACACGGCACGGAUUGCACCUGCAAACGCAAAACACCUUCUAUGCUGCUUAACAAAUACCUGGAUAAAUAGACGCAGAGAAAUGCCUUGCCAGGGAAAUUCGUUACGAACGUCAUAAUAAAUUCAAACGCAGUAAAAUAUUAAAUGGGACGAGGGUGCAGAUAAAGGAGUGUCGGGAUGUCAACUAAAUAAAUGAAAUCUACAUUCUUGCCGUAAAUAAUUUAAGGCAAGCAGAGUGUUGGUGUGUGCAACUGUGCCUGUGUAUACCAAUAUGGUGAAACACCCUUACCCAUAAACAUUCUAUGAACAUGUUAUAUCAGCGUGUGAAGUCGAAAGUAUUUUUUUUCCUUAGAGGAACUUUUCUCGUCACAAGUACCUACUGCCAAAGGGCAUCAGCUUUCCGAACAUCAUAAUUAAGGGUUUGGUACGCCAUAAUUUUUCUAUAAUAAUUCAAAACAUCAUUACGUGUAAUGGCGUUAAAGAGUGGUCGUCACCGUGCCGACGCCAAGUCAGUUUGUUGAACCUGUCGCCAUCAAAUGUGUGCAUUUGUGCGGUGCGCGGGCGCAGGCGGCUCGGCGGCAGUGCAUCAACCUCCAAUAACUUGUAAUUUGUAAUUACAAACCUUUACUGCGCCCGGACGGAGCCGCAGGAAAUAGCCACGUUUACAGCUCACGUUAUACAUUAAUUUCGUAAAUCGAAUACGUGUACCCCAUGGCAUUUCCAUUAUUUGAAUAUAUUUUUACUAACGAA